rnacentral:tRNA from 1 species
UCCCCAGUGGUUCAGUGGUAAAGAAUCUGCCUGCAAUGCAGGAGACUUGGGUUCAAUCCCUGGUUCGGGAA